GUAGAUCAUUAUCUUCAUAUUUAUUUUUAUAUUGACAUAUUUUCUGGAAAAUAAAAUCACUAUAGUUUCGGGUAUACGUCGAGUUGACAACCAGAAUUUUUUUUUUUUUUAAUAAUGAAGGCUUAUUCGAUUGUUCGCGGUGCAUUUUUAUUUAUUCUCGUAAGUGCAUGGGGAUUUUCUGAAGCCGAGGCGGUAAUGACGUUGGAGUACCACCAGCGUUAUUAUGCAAAUUGGAAGGAAUUAGAGUGUAAUGGAGAAUUUUCAGAAAGUAACUUUUUAAGACUCGAAUUGGUUUGUUUAGAGUGUGGGUCAUAUUAUAAUAAAUAUCAAAUCACUGAUGAUUGUCGCCAAAACUGCUUUUCGUCAUCAACCUUCAAGCCUUGCCUCGAUUUUCACAAUCCGACCGAAGCUAUGCUCUUGGGAUACAAAAACAUCGUCCAAUCAAUUUCCGGGCGGGAUCCUGAAUUUUAAUCAUCCAACAAAUUCAUCGAUUGCUAAUUAGUAAAAAUCAAGCACUUGGAAAUAAAAUAAUAAAAAAAAUGUUUCUUUUUUCUUUAUACUUAAGCAAUGUGGGGUAAAAGUUUUAGCUAAUGUAAAUUAAAAUGAAUAAUCUAUUACUUGAUCGAUA